ACAUGUUUGGAAGACGGUAUACAAAAAACCGUGGGAACUGGAUUUUGAUGCUGAUAAAAUUACUAUAAAUACCGGGCUCAUUCCAACAGAAAUUUCAGUCACGGUGGGGUAGUGGUGGAGAUAACAUCUCAUAUAACAAGAUUUUUCUACACUAGACUGAAUGCUACAACAAUUCUUCAUUGUGAGGUGUGACCUAGUUCAAUUACCAGAUUUACAAUGGACCACAAGCCACAAGCCAGAUUGCUUUCCUCUCUAUAUAAAAAAAUGGUGACGAGUAUUAAUGGUAACACAGGCUUUGGCCUUCUUGGAUGAGUCGCAUGAAAUAUUAAUUUUUUUCAUUUGCAUUGUUGUAUCUUGUAGAAUGGCAAAUAUUCCUUUGUAAUGACUUAUUAAUUUAAUACCUUUAUUGUCGUCUAGAUAAUAAGAAAUUUCUACUCUCUCCUCAUGUGAAUGAUUUUGUAUUAUUGUAAUGUUUCUUGAUCAUGCAAUAAAGAAUUUGAAUUUGAAUUUGAA